CAUUCGACCCGUCUUGAAA
rnacentral:snRNA from 1 species